rnacentral:rRNA from 1 species
AGCAAGCAUCGGCUAACUCUGUGCCAGCAGCCGCGGUAAGACAGAGGAUGCGAACGUUGCUCGGAUUUACUGGGCGUAAAGCGCGUGUAGGCGGUCUCGUUAGUCGGGUGUGAAAGCCCCGGGCUCAACCCGGGAAGUGCACCCGAUACUGCGAGACUGGGGUACUGAAGAGGAGAGCGGAAUUCCCGGUGUAGAGGUGAAAUUCGUAGAUAUCGGGAGGAACACCAGUGGCGAAGGCGGCUCUCUGGGCAGAUACCGACGCUGAGACGCGAAAGCGUGGGGAGCAAACAGGAUUAGAUACCCUGGUAGUCCACGCUGUAAACGAUGACGACUGGGUGUUGCAGGUAUUGACCCCUGCGGUGCCGAAGCCAACGCGUUAAGUCGUCCGCCUGGGAAGUACGGCCGCAAGGCUAAAACUCAAAGGAAUUGACGGGGGC